GACGAACGCUGGCGGCGUGCUUAACACAUGCAAGUCGAACGGUAAGGCCUCUUCGGGGGUACACGAGUGGCGAACGGGUGAGUAACACGUGAGUAACCUGCCCUUGACUUUGGGAUAACAUCUGGAAACAGGUGCUAAUACCGGAUAUGAGCUUGUCCUGCAUGGGAUGGGUUGGAAAGCUCCGGCGGUCAUUGGAUGGACUCGCGGCCUAUCAGCUUGUUGGUGAGGUAAUGGCUCACCAAGGCUUCGACGGGUGGCCGGCCUGAGAGGGCGACCGGCCACAUUGGGACCGAGAUACGGCCCAAACUCCUACGGGAGGCAGCAGUGGGGAAUAUUGCACAAUGGGCGGAAGCCUGAUGCAGCAACGCCGCGUGCGGGAUGACGGCCUUCGGGUUGUAAACCGCUUUCAGCAGGGACGAAGCGUGAGUGACGGUACCUGCAGAAGAAGCACCGGCUAACUACGUGCCAGCCGCCGCCGUAAUAC
rnacentral:rRNA from 1 species